AACGAACGCUGGCGGCAGGCUUAACACAUGCAAGUCGAACGCAUCCUUCGGGGUGAGUGGCAGACGGGUGAGUAAUGCGUGGGAACGUGCCCUUCAGUUCGGGAUAACCCAGGGAAACUUGGGCUAAUACCGGAUACGUGCGAGAGCAGAAAGAUUUAUCGCUGAAGGAUCGGCCCGCGUCUGAUUAGCCAGUUGGUGGGGUAAUGGCCCACCAAGGCGACGAUCAGUAGCUGGUCUGAGAGGAUGAUCAGCCACAUUGGGACUGAGACACGGCCCAAACUCCUACGGGAGGCAGCAGUGGGGAAUAUUGGACAAUGGGCGCAAGCCUGAUCCAGCCAUGCCGCGUGAGUGAUGAAGGCCUUAGGGUUGUAAAGCUCUUUCGUCCGGGACGAUAAUGACUGUACCGGAAGAAGAAGCCCCGGCUAACUUCGUGCCAGCAGCCGCGGUAA
rnacentral:rRNA from 1 species